rnacentral:rRNA from 1 species
GACGAACGCUGGCGGCGUGCUUAAUACAUGCAAGUCAACUGAACUUAAGGUAGUAAUAUCUUAAGAGAGGUGGCGCACGGGUGAGUAACACGUAGGUAAUCUGCCUUUAGGUCUGACAUAACCUAUCGAAAGGUAGGCUAAUAUCAGAUGAUGCAGCGGCUCGACAUCGAGACAGUUGUUAAACCUUCGGGGCCUAAAGAUGAGCCUGCGUCUGAUUAGGAGUUGGCGGAGUAAAAGCCCACCAAGCCUGCGAUCAGUAGCUGGUCUGAGAGGAUGAUCAGCCACACUGGAACUGAGACACGGUCCAGACUCCUACGGGAGGCAGCAGUAAGGAAUAUUGCUCAAUGGCCG